GAUGAACGCUGGCGGCGUGCCUAACACAUGCAAGUCGAGCGGGAUUCAUGAGGACGAAACUUCGGUCUAGAAAUCAUGAUGAGAGCGGCGGACGGGUGAGUAACGCGUAGGCAACCUGCCCUUAGCACAGGGAUAGCCUCGGGAAACCGGGAUUAAAACCUGAUAUUGCCAAACAGUCACAUGGCUGUUUGGCCAAAGAUUUAUCGGCUAAGGAUGGGCCUGCGUCUGAUUGGUUAGUUGGUGGGGUAACGGCCUACCAAGACGACGAUCAGUAGCCGACCUGGGAGGGUGAUCGGCCACAUUGGAACUGAGACACGGUCCAAACUCCUACGGGAGGCAGCAGUGGGGAAUAUUGCACAAUGGGCGAAAGCCUGAUGCAGCAACGCCGCGUGAGCGAUGAAGGCCUUUGGGUCGUAAAGCUCUGUCCUAGGGGACGAACAAAAUGACGGUACCCUUGGAGGAAGCCCCGGCUAACUACGUGCCAGCAGCCGCCGUAAAAC
rnacentral:rRNA from 1 species